rnacentral:rRNA from 1 species
UACGUAGGGGGCAAGCGUUGUCCGGAUUCAUUGGGCGUAAAGAGCGUGUAGGCGGCCAGGUAGGUCGGUUGUGAAAACUGGAGGCUCAACCUUCAGAGGUCGACCGAAACCAUCUGGCUAGAGUCCGGGAGAGGAGAGUGGAAUUCCUGGUGUAGCGGUGAAAUGCGCAGAUAUCAGGAAGAACACCCGUGGCGAAAGCGGCUCUCUGGAACGGUACUGACGCUGAGACGCGAAGGCGUGGGAGCGAACGGG